rnacentral:lncRNA from 1 species
CAUUCGUAUUUUUACAAAUCAAAAGGGAACAUUUGAAUCCAAGUACAAUUAGGGUUUCCAACCAUUGAGGAGCUAUACAAAAUAUCUAAACUAGCUCAACUCAUGCUUCAAAAUCACAGUUCCAAAAGUGGUUCCCUGUAAGGAAAACAAAGAUAACGGAACGGGGUGAGUUAGAAGCUCAAUGAGGUACCAAAAGCAUAACAGUGGAAAUCAUGAGAAAAAACUUUUAGGGCAUACAUACACAUCAAAUAAGAGAAAAAAACGAACACCACUGAUAGGGUGCAAUUUAUUCAUUUAUUUUAUUAUUAAUUCCUCCUAUUACCUGACUUGAUGUGGAUUUAUUUGCUGGAUUCUACUCACUUUUAGUAUUUGACGUUUAUUUCAGGGAGUAGAAUAUAAAUAUGAUAACAGGUGCCAAAUUGGGAAAAAAAAGAAUUCAGAUGAGAAAGCUUGUCCCAGGGGCACUUUUGGAAGAGAAGAUGUCAUGCCCAUUUUGGUAAUUUUCGCAAGGAAAUGACGGACGGAGGGCUUCGCUUCCUGUGGAGGUCCCGCCGCAAUUAAAAGAGGGAAAGGCAGCAACCCUGUGGGAGCUAGCUUGUUCUUGAUUCUCCGUCUGGAGCUUAGCAGCAAUUUUUGACUUUUCCCUUGUAAUUCACUUUUUGGCUUGAGAAGCCUACGGAUGUUAGGAAGAAAAGGCAUUUGUUAGCCUCGGGCUUUGACUUUUCCUUUUCCUCUCUUUUGAAUCCUGCGCAUGGCAGGAGCAUUGGAGAAUUGUUUCUUUUGACUUUUUUCUUUAGCUUGAGACGAAGUGAAAACCACGAACUUUCGUAGCUUUUCUAUUCAUUCGAUAUAUUGAGACGAAUUGGAUUUUGCCAAAUUUCAACGGACAUGGCCGCUGGUUUCUCUGCAAUUUUGUGUGGGUUUAGUUCAUCAAUUAUGAACUAAUUUUUCCACUCUAGUCAAAGAGCAAUGGAUGCUUUGGGUCACCUAAAAUUGUGAGAUCAUUCUAAUUUAAUCUUUUCCUUUUAUUUAUCGGUAUUCGCAUAUUCCUUGAUUGCUAAGCUUAUGGUUAUUUAAUUAAUUGGUUGUCUUGGAUCCGGAUAAUUAAUUGAUUGGGUAAUCUAUUGUCAAUUGGGGUAUUAAAUUCGUAAUUGUUUAAUUGCCUCAAAAUAGUGACAGCUGGCAUGAUUAGAUUUGUGUCAGGGGAUUACGUGGGCUAAUCUAAAAUAACCCUGGUAGUGCGUUAUUUGGUUAGAAUAGGGCUCCUCUAAUACGUAAGGCAAUUGGGAAAUUAAAUCUUACGGGCGUACCUAGGAUUAUUUCUCAGUUAGAGCAGUGAUUAACGGGCGUACCUUGAUCACCGACACAGUAAGGAGGAGUUGGCUGCCAUCGCUUGUUUGGUAGUUAUAACCUAUUUAUUGGUAAAUAAGUGGGAUUGGCUUUGCAUCAAUGAUCAAUUAGGCGAACCAUUGCUGAAGUUACUUCUUGGCUAGAUCUUUAGUUAAUAUUUUCUUGAUUGUAGUGGAUUGCCAUUUGACUUUUAAUUGCCUACUUUAUUUUAUUUUUGAUUGUUUCCUCGUUUUAAUUAAUUUAGGCCUUUAAUUAUUGUUAUCCUGAGUUCAGAAAAUUGUGGUUUAAUUUCUAGUUAGUUGUUUAUUUUUACUUUCCCAUUUGAAUUUAUUUAAUUAUCGUCGUUCCUACAAAAUCACCCCCUGUGUCACUUUGGAUUUCUUAAGAAACGAAUAUACCCAAUCUCUGUGGAUACGACCCUACUUACCCUGUCUACAAAUUCAUAAUCACUUGUGAAAAGGAAUAACCAUUCCAUUCGGGUAUAUCGGAUCAAGCAAAUUUUUCGGGAACAGGGUGAAUCAAGUAACCCAUUGCACACCUAGAGUCCCUGCUCCAGUACUUGGAAUUGGAUUUUGGUCAUUUUAACUGGCAAUUAGGUUUAAUUUUAUUAUUGCACAGGCUGACGACCUGUCAAUUUUUGACGCCGCUGCCGGGGACUGGCGUUAUUAUUUGUUUCUUUUUAAAUUCAAUUUUUGUCUUAAUUUUCUGGUUUUCUUCUAGUGUAUGCCUCGAUCUUCUCGCACAGGUGAUUUGGUUUUUGACCCUGAGGUAGAGAAGACCGCGCGUAGAACGAGAAAGGAAACCAGACAGCUCAGAGAAGAGCACUCUAGUGCUACAUCUCAAAGACCCGAGUCAGAAGUUGAACCAACAGAUUCGUUUGGUAACACUUCGAGUGACUCUGACCAGGAGGAGUUCACCAUGGCUAAUGCACAAACAUUAAGGGAGUUGGCUGCUCCUGAUUUAACUCAGCAGCCUUUGUGCAUUACUUUCCCCGCUUUAAAUGACAACAUUCCAUUUGAACUAAAAUCUGGUCUGAUUCAGCUUUUACCCUCUUUUCAUGGUUUACCAGGUGAAGAGCCGUAUAAGCAUCUGCAGGAGUUUGAUGUCGUGUACAAUAGUAUGAAACCCCCAGAAAUCACAGAAGAGCAGAUAAAAAUGAGGGCAUUCCCCUUCUCCUUGAAAGAUUCUGCGAAGGACUGGCCGUACUACCUGUCACCAGGUAGCAUCACCACGUGGGGCCAAUUGAAGAAAAAAUUUCUGGAUAAAUAUUUUCCUGCGUCCAGGGCUGCAAGUCUAAGGAAGGAAAUUUGUGGGAUCAAGCAGCAUCCAGGGGAGUCACUUUACGAGUAUUGGGAACGGUAUAAGAACUUGUUGCGCAGGUGCCCCCAACACCAAAUAAGUGAGCAGUUGAUCAUACAAUAUUUUUAUGAGGGGCUCAUUUUUAGAGACAGGAGCAUCAUUGAUGCUGCAAGUGGAGGGGCACUGGUGAACAAAACCCCUCAGGAAGCACGGGAGCUAAUAGAGGGGAUGACAGAGAAUUCACAGCAAUUCAGUACAAGAGAGGAUGUCCCAAUACGUAGGGUGAAUGAGGUAGAGACACCCUCUAUACAGCAGCAGCUAAAUGAGUUAACUGCGUUUGUUAGGCAACAGGCUGUGAGAAAUGCAUCACAAGCCAGGGUAUGCGGGAUUUGCACUGGUAUAGGCCACUCUGCAGACAUGUGCCCAAUGAUUCAGGAAGAAACUGCAGAACAGGUGAAUAUGGCUGACCACGAGCCCGCGCCAAGGAAGCAGUACGACCCUUACUCAAACACCUACAACCCCGGGUGGAGAGAUCAUCCCAACCUCAAUUAUCGAGGGAAUAGGCAAUCCAACUUCACGCCGAACAGGCAGUCUAACUUUGUGCCGAAUAAGCCACCAGGGUACCAGCAGCAAUACCAACCCCGACCACCUCCGCCACCUCAAUCUGGUUCAUCUACGGAGGAGAUGCUGAAACAAAUGAUGACAACCAUGGCGCAAAAUCAGCAAAGGACGGAGGCAGCUAUUAUGCAAAAUCAGCAAAAGACGGACUCCGAAAUGCAGGACAUAAGGAAUCAGAUAGGUCAAAUGGCCACCAGAAUUAAUAGUUUGGAGUCCCAGAACCAAGGGAAGCUGCCAUCUCAACCGGAGUUGAAUCCGAAGAACGUGAGCGCAAUGACCCUAAGGAGUGGGAAAGAAAUUCAGGGGCCUGAACCUGUGAUUUCCAAGGACAAGGAUGAAGAGAAGAUCGAAAAUGAUCUUGAAAGGGAGGACAGCAAUGGUGCAGAUCCAAAGGUACUUCAUGACCCAAUAAUUACAGUUAAAACUAACCCACCUCCUUUUCCUAGCAGGUUGGAAAAAUCGAAGAAACAGGAUAAGGAAAAGGAGAUCUUGGAGGUUUUUCGCAAGGUUGAGAUAAAUAUCCCCCUCUUGGACGCCAUCAAACAAGUACCAAAAUAUGCCAAGUUCCUAAGGGACUUGUGUGUAAACCGAAGGCGAUUGAGGGGAGAUGAACGGGUCAUAGUUGGGAAAAAUGUGUCUGCGGUCCUGCAGAGAAAGCUCCCACCAAAGUGCGGGGACCCAGAUAUGUUUACUAUUCCCUGUAAGAUAGGUAAUACUGUGAUCAGAAGGGCCAUGUUGGAUUUGGGAGCAUCAAUAAAUGUCAUGCUUAAGUCUAUCUAUGCUUCUCUAAAAUUAGGUCCAUUAAAAGAAACUGGAAUAAUCAUUCAAUUAGCUGACCGAACUAAUGCAUAUCCUGAUAGGUUGGUUGAAGAUGUGUUGGUAAAAGUUAAUGAUUUGGUGUUUCCAGCUGAUUUUUAUGUACUUGAUAUGGAUGAUGAUCACUCCCCUGAUUCCUCACCUCUGUUAUUGGGUAGACCUUUUAUGAGCACAGCACAGACGAAAAUUGAUGUUAAUAAGGGUAUUCUGUCCAUGGAGUUUGAUGGGAAAAUUGUGCAUUUUAAUAUUUUUGAUACUAUGAAGUACCCCUCGAACUCCAACUUUAGCUCAGUUUUUUCUGUGAGUGCUAUUGACCCUGUAGUACAGGAAGUGUUUGAAACUGAUGGCAGGGAUGAGAUGGAGGUGGCUUUAACCAAGCACCUCGAGUUGGAGACAACUCCUCAGGUGGAGUGGAGUGAGGAUUUAGAAUGCACAAUAGGUGCAUUACACUCGUUGCAGACCACCACGAAAAGGUAUGAAGUCUUACCUAUUUUUACUCCCGAGCCUCACCAGAGGGUAUUGCCAUCUGUGGUGCAGGCACCUGUACUGGAGUUGAAACCUCUACCAGAGCACCUGAAAUAUGCAUAUCUAGGUGAUAAUGAGACACUCCCGGUGAUUAUCUCAUCGGCACUGUCAAAAAUCCAAGAAGAGAAAUUGAUCCGGGUCCUUAGAGAGCAUAAAGAGGCGAUAGGUUGGACAAUUGCAGACAUUAAGGGAAUCAGCUCGGCCGUCUGUAUGCAUCGGAUUAGACUAGAAGAGGAUGCCAAACCUGUUAGGCAGGCUCAAAGAAGGCUCAACCCCCUCAUGAUGGAAGUUGUAAAGAAAGAGAUUCUAAAAUUGCUAGAUGUGGGGAUCAUCUUUGCAAUAUCUGAUAGCUCUUGGGUGAGUCCGGUCCAGGUAGUUCCAAAGAAGGCAGGAGUAACGGUAGAAGCCAACCAAACGGGUGAGCUCGUGCCAGUGCGCAAACCCACUAGAUGGAGGCAAUGUAUAGACUACCGUAGGCUAAACGCCGUCACCAAAAAGGACCAUUUUCCUCUCCCUUUCAUUGAUCAGAUAGUUGAACGUUUAGCUGGUAGAGCUUAUUAUUGCUUUUUGGAUGGAUUUUCAGGAUACUUUUAGAUAGCAAUUGCCCCAGAGGAUCAAGAGAAGACAACCUUCACGUGCCCGUUCGGGACCUUUGCUUAUAGACGAAUGCCAUUUGGGUUAUGCAAUGCACCUGCAACAUUCCAGAGGUGUAUGGUAAGUAUUUUUUCUGAAUAUGUGGAGAAAAUUAUUGAAGUUUUCAUGGACGAUUUCAGUGUGUAUGGUGAUAGUUUUGACACUUGUUUAGAUAACCUGAAAUUGAUCCUGAUAAGGUGUAUAGAGACUAAUCUUGUGCUUAAUUGGGAAAAAUGUCAUUUUAUGGUUGAGCAUGGGAUAGUCCUGGGUCAUAUUGUAUCGUCUAAGGGCAUAGAAGUUGACAGGGCUAAAAUAUACAUUAUCUCUGCAUUACCUUACCCCGCGAGUGUGCGGGAGGUGCGUUCUUUUCUUGGACAUGCAGGUUUUUAUCGAAGGUUCAUCAAGGAUUUUUCAAAAAUUGGAGCCCCGUUGUUCCAACUUCUACAAAAGGAUGUGACCUUCGAAUUCGAUGAUAAGUGUGAGGAAGCUUUCAACAAGUUAAAAGAAUUGUUGACUUCACCCCCAGUUAUCCAGCCCCCUGACUGGAGUCUACCAUUUGAGAUCAUGUGCGAUGCCAGUGAUCAGGCCGUAGGGGCUGUAUUGGGGCAAAGAGUAGGGAAGGCAGCUCACGUCAUCUAUUAUGCAUCCUGGGCAUUGAAUGGAGCCUAGUUGAAUUACUCCACCACUGAGAAGGAACUUCUUGCAGUUAUUUUUGCUUUAGAAAAAUUCAGGUCAUAUUUGCUAGGUGCUAAAGUAAUUGUAUUUUCUGACCAUGCAGCAUUAAGGUACCUAAUGACCAAGAAAGAUGCAAAGCCGAGGCUCAUCAGGUGGAUAUUGCUACUACAGGAAUUUGACCUGGAGAUAAGAGACAAAAAAGGCUCAGAAAAUCUAGUAGCAGACCAUUUAAGUCGCAUACCAAUUGGGGAGGAUAAUGAGCCGUUGAGGGAUGCAUUCCCUGAAGAGCAUUUAUUUUCCUUAAAUUCUCAAUUGCCUUGGUAUGCUGAUUUGGUAAAUUAUCUAGUAACGGGUGAUUUUCCUGCAGGUUGGCCAAAAUCGAAGAAAGAUAAAUUGAAGAGUGACGCCAAGUAUUUCAUCUGAGACGACCCAUACCUAUGGAAAAGAUGUGGCGACCAAAUAAUGAGGAGAUGUGUAAGUGAAGUGGAGUUUCAAUCAAUUUUAGCUUUUUGUCAUACUUUUGCCUGUGGAGGUCAUUUUGGACCUAAGAGAACUGCUCAUAAGAUUUUAGAAAGUGGAUUUUAUUGGCUUUCAUUGUUUAAAGAUGCCUAUGUGUUUUGUAAGUCCUGUGAUCGCUGUCAAAGAGUAGGUAAUAUAUCCCGCAGGGAUCAAAUGCCCCAGGUCCCGUUGAUUUUUGUUGAAAUUUUUUAUGUCUGGGGUAUAGAUUUCAUGGGACCUUUUCCUACUUCAUUUGGUUAUUUAUAUAUUUUGUUGGCAGUUGAUUAUGUGUCUAAAUGGGUGGAGGCUAAGGCCACUCGGACUAAUGAUUCGAGAAUAGUUACAGAUUUUAUCAGGUCUAAUAUUUUUGUACGAUUUGGAAUGCCUAGAACUAUUGUCAGUGAUAGGGGAACGCACUUUUGCAACAAAACCAUAGCUGCGUUGUUUCGCAAGUAUGGUGUACUCCACCGGGUCUCAACGUCAUACCACCCUCAGACCAACGGUCAAGCGGAGGUGUCAAAUCGGGAGAUUAAGUCCAUUUUAGAGAAAAUGGUGCGCCCUGAUAGGAAAGAUUGGAGCCAAAGGUUGGAGGACGCACUCUGGGCCUAUCGGACGGCGUACAAGACUCCUAUAGGGAUGUCACCAUACAGGUUGGUAUUUGGGAAGCCGUGUCACCUUCCAGUGGAGUUCGAGCACAAGGCUUUUUGGGCGAUAAAGCAAUGUAAUAUGAAUCUAGAAGAGGCCGGUGUUCAACGGAAGCUGGAUUUGCAAGAAUUGGAGGAGAUCAGGAACGAAGCAUACGAAAACGCCUUGAUUUAUAAGGAGAAAAGCCGGGCAUUUCAUGACCAACAAAUUUCACGAAGAACAUUUGAAGUUGGUCAGAAGGUCCUCCUAUACCAAUCAAGGCUCAAGCUAUUCCCAGGUAAGCUACGUUCCCGUUGGAUUGGACCUUUUAUUGUAACUCAUGUUUUUCCCUAUGGUGCAGUUGAAAUCCAGAGUGCUAAGACAGACAACAAAUUUGUGGUGAAUGGACACCGUCUCAAGUAUUAUUACGAAGGAUUUUCAGGUGGAGAGGUGGAGACAAUAAGGCUAGACGCACCACCGUGUCCUAAUCAAUGACACUUUACCAUGUCUAGCCAAAGACAUUAAAGAAAGGCGCUAAUUGGGAGGCAACCCAAUUGUUUCUGUCAAUUACUUGUUGGUUUCGGGUCAUAGUUUAAAUCUAUUUUCCCUUUAAUUUGACUGAUUUUGAGUUUCAGUUUUCGUUUUUGCUGAUUUUUAGGUGUCCUUCAGUCUUGACGCGCCCGCGUGGUGAUGUGCAGGACGCUCACGAUCAGGAAAUUCUGAACUUCUGGGAGCUCUCCUGCCCUCAUGACGUGCCCGCGUGGUGAUGUGCAGGACGCUCACGAUCAGGAAAUUCUGAACUUCUGGGAGCUCUCCUGCCCUCAUGACGUGCCCGCGUGGUGAUGUGCAGGACGCUCACGAUCAGAAAAUUCUGAAACUUCUGGGAGCUCUUUUGGCCUCAUGACGUGCCCGCGUCACGUUCGCGGGAAAGGUAAGGAUUCAAAUAAAUAAAAAAAAAUGAAAAAAAAAUUGAAAAAAAAUAUAGAAAAACUAUUAUUAUUAUUUCAGUUAUUCAAAUAAUAAUAAAAAAAAAUUUCCUCUUAACCGUAGCAAUUUCUUUUAUAUAAAAAAAAAAAUUUCCUCUUAACCGUAGCAAUUUCUUUUAUUUAAAAAAAAAAAAAUUUCCUUCUUUUCUUUUCUUUCUUUCUUCUUUCUCUCUUCUUUCUUUCUUUGUUCUCCGCUGCUGUUUCCUCCUGUCGACUUGAUCCAGUCGUCGACCCAUCAACCGCCGCUUCCUCCACCUAGCCACGCCAAGCAGCCGCACGCCGCCGCUGCUGUAGCGCGCAGCCCAGAAGCAGCUCGCGCGCAAACCAGACCCUCCGCCCGCGCGCCUCUGCUGCUCACGCCACCGCCGCCCACUGACGAAUCUUCUCCGCCACCAGAUCUGCGCGGCGGCCGAAGUUUCUCCCACCAUCGCGCGCCCCAAAUCGCGCGCUCCGCCGCUCUUCGACCGCGCACGCGCCACGCCUUCCCCGCGCUGCUGCUCCUGCCGCAGCUCUUCCCUCACGCAACCACAGCCGUACCAGCCACAGCAGACCGCAGCCCCCUCUCACUCCAGCUUCACGACACAGCUAGCUGCUCUAUCUGCAGACUGGCGGGGUACUAGUGGAGGUAUUUGGACUUUAUUCCCCAAUUUUUGAUAUCUAAUUGGUACUGCCUGGGUUGAUAACUAGUUGCUAUUGUCAACGGUUGGAGGUUAUUUCUCGAUUGUGUGAUUUCCUCCAGUAGUACUGGUUGGUCUAUUCUUGCUUGGAACUGCUAUUUCUCUUGGGGUGUGUUAAAUUGUGCAAUUAAUUGGCCAACUGGAGCCAUUUGUUGGGACUUUGGGUGAGCUAAAUUGCUGUGAUUGGUUGUUGACUUUGGGCGACACUUUUUGGGUUUUUAGUUGGGUUAUUUCUGAAAUUUCUUGUUGCUUUGGAGAGACUGGCCGCAUGCUCUACUUGUUGAGAUUGGUAAUAUUCAGUUUAAUUACUUGUUGAAUUGCUGAUUUUGAGGGGUCUUCCUGUAUCGGGCAUUGGGCAUUGCUACUUGCUCAAACUCCUCUUUUUGUUAUUGGUUGGGUCCUUCCUGGGGAAUUAUUGUUGUGAUCUGCUGAGUUUCCUUUGCUAGUUACAUUUGCUGGUUUCUAUACCUGUUGAAGCUUCUUGUUGGUUUGAGUUCACUGUGGGAGGACAUGGUGCGACCGAAGUCAUCCUCUAGGUCUAGGGCCUCUCAGUCUCAACCCCCUCCACAGGCAUCUAUUCCGGUGAAUACACCUACCAACCUACCGUAUUCUUCUAAUGUCCGAACCCGCUUGGGUAGGGGUAGGGUGCUCAGGUAGAUACCCCAGCUCACUUUGGAGGGCACUUGACCUUAACCAGACCUGCGGAUCAGCAGAGGUAUGCCAAAGUCUGUGAGCGGCGUAUCAUACCUUGUAAGACUAGUGACAAAUUAAGCAUGAUGGGCCUAGGCAUACGAGAGGAGGUCGAGCAGAUGUUUACAGCCAUCGGGUGGCGCCCAUAUCUCUAUAUCUUCUGUCCCGCAUUUGUCGAGCUGACUCGGGAGUUUUAUGCUACCUUUGAGUUUGAGUUGCCCUCGAGGUUCACCGUUGCGACACCUAAUGUCAUUCGCUUCCGUCUGAUGGGUCGGGAAUUUAAUUUUUCGAUUACCGAAUUUAAUUUGGCAUUCGGAUUCAUUACUCGAGAGUAUGCGGAGACGAGGGAGUAUAGUGAGAGUGCCUGUAACUAUGUAGAGCCAUUCCUCUCCCGCUACCAUGAUGUAUGGGAGGAAAUAUCCGUCGAUGGGGAGCGCUACGAUCCUUCUCGAUCUAGGAGUUCCUUUCUUAAGGACCCUAGUGCCCGCUAUGUUCAGCGAUUUUUAGCCUGCAGCUACUCAGGGCGCAAGGACAGCUCCGGUAUACUCUCUCGCCCCGAGUUUUUCUUCCUCUGGAGCAUGAAGAACAACAUCAAGGUCAAUUUGGGGUGUUGGUUGGCGGCGCAGUUCAAGACGGUUCUGACCAAGAAGAACAAACCUCUGAUCCUUGGGUCCUUUAUCACUCACUUGGCGACCGAGCUAGGGGUUCUUGACUUGGAGGACCAUGACCUACAUUUGGCAUUCGAGAUAGAGCUCUUGGAUGUGGAUUGCUUAGAGAGGAUGGGAAUCGUCGAGCGCUUGCCCGAUGGUUCCUACCAGUUUACCCCUCCGGGACCACCUCGAGCUCCGGGUGCACGCCCUACGCCCCGACCAGGACCCUCUUCCUUUCAUGAGUCGGCCGAGGACACGGCUGGGCCGUCAUCUUCUGCACCACCUCCACGCCGUGGGACUUCUGAAUGGCAGCAACUCCAGGAGCAGGUUCAGGAUUUGCAGGCCCGAAUGAACAACGUCGACGCCAAUGUCGCAGGCAUAGCACAGAAUUUGGCGCAGUUUCUGAUGCAUACAGGCUUUGCACCUCCAUUCCCACCUCGCCCUCCGCUAUGACCCAAUUUCAGGGAAGUUUGGCUAAUUCCCUCUCACUUUUGCUUCACUUUUGGCUUUUAUUUGUCACAUUGAGGACAAUGUGUCCUAUAGGUGUGGGGGGGGAUCUAAAGUUAUGCAAGUGUGCUCCGUUUUUAGUAGUUUUCAGUUUUCAGCUUUUCAUUUUAGUAGUUUUUAGUGUUUUUAGUUUUAGUAAUUUUAGUUUGUAGUUUUUAGUUUUUUUAAGUUUUUAGCUUUGGGUUUUAGUUUUUAGCCGUUUUUCGUUUUAUUUUCUUUUUGUUCAUUCUCUUUCAAUCUUGAUCUUGUUGGUUAAUGUGAAAAAAAAAGAAAAAAAAAAGAAAAAGAAAAAGAAAAGUGAGUUUUUAGUUUUAGUAGUUUUUCGUAGUUUCAUUUCUAGUUGCUCGUUUUCGUUCUUUCUUCUUGGUGCUUACCCUUCAUGUGAAUGCUAAAAGUUGAGAUGUGGACUUAUUGACUCCAAGUCUACUUUUGCCAAGUUUUUAAAAUACAAAAUGUAUCGGGUUAAUGUGGUUGGAUCCAGAAUAUCUUCCUGGUGAAUAUCGAAUUGCUCGGCUCCUUUGAUUUCUGUGAUUAAUUUCUCUAGGCAUGGGGAAUGACUGUUGGCAUUUUAAUGUGAACUGGUCCAAUAUUGACUCCAGUUCUCUAUGUUUGACAAUAAUGAGGCGAGCUGUUCCUAUUUUUGGUUCUUAGUGUUGUUAGUAUGUGUUUUUGGCUUUGCUUGGCUGUGAAUAAGCUUGACUGUACUCCGCUAUUAAGUUACUACUGAGUAACCGGGGAUCGGCACCUAAAAGUGUCGAUUCUCGCGACAAAAGGUGGUACUUUAUAUGAGUACGUGGUCGUAUAGCGGUAGGAGCUGAGUAACCGGGCUCCUUCAUUUAAAAAUGUUGGAGUUCGCGUCAAAAUGCCCCGACGGCUAACGACUAAGUCUUUUUGUAUUAAUUAUUAUUGUUCUGAAAAAAAAGGAAAAAAAAUGAAAAAAAGAGAGAAUAAAUAAUGGGAAGGCUUGCUGGUUUUUGGACUUAAUAUGGAGACUUGUGUGAAUAUUUGGACCGUUAGCUGAUAAAUGUUGUGCGCCAUUCCCUUUUCUUAGAGUAGUUAACCUGGAAAUUGAAGGAAUUGGCAGUUUAGGGGCUAACCGGGGGGAUGCUUCUUGGAUUCUAAUCACCAAUGCUCGAUAUGUGUUUUUCUCUUGAAUGUCUUGGCAAUAUAGGAGAUUGGGCAAUGGCCAUCGUCGAAUUUUGGUGUUCGUUUACUUUUCUUAUGCUUGAGGACAAGCAUGGUUUAGGUGUGGGGGGAAUUGAUAGGGUGCAAUUUAUUCAUUUAUUUUAUUAUUAAUUCCUCCUAUUACCUGACUUGAUGUGGAUUUAUUUGCUGGAUUCUACUCACUUUUAGUAUUUGACGUUUAUUUCAGGGAGUAGAAUAUAAAUAUGAUAACAGGUGCCAAAUUGGGAAAAAAAAGAAUUCAGAUGAGAAAGCUUGUCCCAGGGGCACUUUUGGAAGAGAAGAUGUCAUGCCCAUUUUGGUAAUUUUCGCAAGGAAAUGACGGACGGAGGGCUUCGCUUCCUGUGGAGGUCCCGCCGCAAUUAAAAGAGGGAAAGGCAGCAACCCUGUGGGAGCUAGCUUGUUCUUGAUUCUCCGUCUGGAGCUUAGCAGCAAUUUUUGACUUUUCCCUUGUAAUUCACUUUUUGGCUUGAGAAGCCUACGGAUGUUAGGAAGAAAAGGCAUUUGUUAGCCUCGGACUUUGACUUUUCCUUUUCCUCUCUUUUGAAUCCUGCGCAUGGCAGGAGCAUUGGAGAAUUGUUUCUUUUGACUUUUUUCUUUAGCUUGAGACGAAGUGAAAACCAUGAACUUUCGUAGCUUUUCUAUUCAUUCGAUAUAUUGAGACGAAUUGGAUUUUGCCAAAUUUCAACGGACAUGGCCGCUAGUUUCUCUGCAAUUUUGUGUGGGUUUAGUUCAUCAAUUAUGAACUAAUUUUUCCACUCUAGUCAAGGAGCAAUGGAUGCUUUGGGUCACCUAAAAUUGUGAGAUCAUUCUAAUUUAAUAUUUUCCUUUUAUUUAUCGGUAUUCGCAUAUUCCUUGAUUGCUAAGCUUAUGGUUAUUUAAUUAAUUACUUGUCUUGGAUCCGGAUAAUUAAUUGAUUGGGUAAUCUAUUGUCAAUUGGGGUAUUAAAUCCGUAAUUGUUUAAUUACCUCAAAAUAGUGACAAUUGGCAUGAUUAGAUUUGUGUCAGGGGAUUACGUGGGCUAAUCUAAAAUAACCCUGGUAGUGCGUUAUUUGGUUAGAAUAGGGCUCCUCUAAUACGUAAGGCAAUUGGGAAAUUAAAUCUUACGGGCGUACCUAAGAUUAUUUCUCAAUUAGAGCAGUGAUUAACGGGCGUACCUUGAUCACCGACACAGUAAGGAGGAGUUGGCUGCCAUCGCUUGUUUGGUAGUUAUAACCUAUUUAUUGGUAAAUAAGUGGGAUUGGCUUUGCAUCAAUGAUCAAUUAGGUGAACCAUUGCUGAAGUUACUUCUUGGCUAGAUCUUUAGUUAAUAUUUUCUUGAUUGUAGUGGAUUGCCAUUUGACUUUUAAUUGCCUACUUUAUUUUAUUUUUGAUUGUUUCCUCGUUUUAAUUAAUUUAGGCCUUUAAUUAUUGUUAUCCUGAGUUCAGAAAAUUGUGGUUUAAUUUCUAGUUAGUUGUUUAUUUUUACUUUCCCAUUUGAAUUUAUUUAAUUAUCGUCGUUCCUACAAAAUCACCCCCUGUGUCACUUUGGAUUUCUUAAGAAACGAAUAUACCCAGUCUCUGUGGAUACGACCCUACUUACCCUGUCUACAAAUUCAUAAUCACUUGUGAAAAGGAAUAACCAUUCCAUUCGGGUAUAUCGGAUCAAGCAAACUUUUCGGGAAUAGGGUGAAUCAAGUAACCCAUUGCACACCUAGAGUCCCUGCUCCAGUACUUGGAAUUGGGUUUUGGUCAUUUUAACUGGCAAUUAGGUUUAAUUUUAUUAUUGCACAGGCUGACGACCUGUCAACCACAAUUUAAAGGAUACAGGUGGCCCUCAGGAGCCAAAUCCCCGUUGCAAUACUUGAUCCAGCUUCGUUGACUCUCCGUCAAUGUUGAAUAACACACUCAUGUCGGUAGACCCCUCUUACGCCAAAAUCCCGUUCACCAAACAUACCCCUUAUCGGGCCCGAACGCCGAACAGGAACAGUAGUGGUACUACUCGAGUAUACCGGAAUCAAGAGUCUCAAUACCCAAAGAUUAUCCAGGAACAGGUACCCAUGGAUUGUCAAUUAUCUUGACCAAGCACCUGCUGGCUCGAUUUAAUUAACUCCGCAUGAGGUUGAGCUCAAGUUUAACAGAAAGAUCAUUGGACACACUUCCAAACGAUCUCAUAAUAAGUGCAAGUAGCAAGUUCAAGUACAUAACAAGUACAAGUAAUAGAUUCCAGUUCAUUCAGUACAGGCAAGAGAACGAGUGUGAUAAAGUACACCCUCGUCUCAUUCAGAAUAACAGAGUUUCAUAGUUAUCCAUGUCACACAUUUCAAGUAUAGAUGAACCAAUUAAACAACAAUUCAAGGGAGUGAUACACUCACCUAUUAAGGCGAAAUAACGUCCAGAAUAUCUUUCCGAGUAACACUCUCAAUCACCGAUGAACCCUAAGGUUAAUCAAGAGAAAAUAUUACAGUUCCUCUAGCAAAAGUUAGGUGAAUCGAAAACAAUUCAAAUACUACUAGUACAAAGUAUAAAUAUGAUUUUGGAAGUGAAAAGAGUACAUUUAAACCAAAGGACAUGAGUAAAAUAUUUGGAAAACUUAUGCUCGCUCGUAAAACUUUGAAAUAUCCAUUUGAGUUGAAGAAAUGAAGAAAAUGUAUUUCUAUUAAUUGUAAAUUUCAUUUUUUCCAAGUGUACAAGUUUUAGCCAGGCUUGAACUUAUAUACCUCGAUAAAAGAAGAUGCAAAUAUCCUAGAUGGUUUAUAUGGUAUUCGCUCUCAAAUCGUUGCCUAAUCCUCGAGCGUAAAUUUGGGCAGCACACAUUUUAUAUUUACCUAUGUUCCAGCCACUUAUGGCUUCAUUAUUUUCCUCAAUCAACUCCAAAGUCAUACACAAUAUAAAUUCAUCACAACAGCCAUUCAAUAGGCUCAAAGUCAUUCAAGUACAAGAUUUAACUAGGAAAAUGACCGGAAAUGAGCUUUAAGCUAAGAAACCAAAAAGGCAGAUUCACCACUACUUAGCGUAUCGGACAUAACCGAAACUACGCUUAUUGGAUUGAAGUCCAAGUUAUACCGUUUCGAAGCUAAGACAGAGGGUUAUAACUUUGAUGAAGACUACUUAGUCCAAUUCUCACCCUAACUAGGUCAAGUUUACCAAAAUAACCCCAGAUUUUCCAGUUCGAAGCUCAUUGCGAAAUUCAACUAGCAGUUCUGAUUCAUUCAAUCAUAUCUCAACACACCCAACUCCGAUUCAGGUAAUUCCAAAGCCAUUUGAAAGUAAGAUACAAGGCUAUAAUUCUUAAGGAGAUUUCGACAAUCAAUUCGGUAAUAUUCCUGGUCAAACUAACCACUUACAGAGGCUGAUUAUCAUUUUUGACAGAUACAUGGCAGCAGGGGUAAUUUUGUCAUUUCACAAGAUACCCUACUCCGAUUGAGCUGAAAUUUUGUAGGAAGCUAGUUAACAUCAUUUUCUACAACUUUCAUGUUUUAAGCUAAGGCUGAUUCGGCUUCUAACAUGCUCAAAUAAAGACAGACAGAACAGGGAAAAUUAGAACCCUAAAGCUGAAAUUUCCGUACAAAACUGAAAUUUUCCGCAAACAAUCGUAACUAACAUAUACAAGCUCCAUUUUACACCAUAACAAGCUAUCAUACCAUGAUUAAACCAUAAUCAUCCCAUAAAAUCAGAAAAAUCUCCAUUAGAUCAGAAAUUCAACAAACACUAGUUCAACCCAUGAAGUCUUCCACAAAUUAACAUGUUAGACCACUAGAAACCACUAAUCUUUCCUUAUUAAGAACAAAAAGGAGAUUUCUUAGCAACUUACCUUUACAACUCAAGAAAGAUGGCAACUUAGCACCUCCACUUCUAAAACCACUCCACCACCUUCUUCAAUCCUAUCUAGCAAUAGGUUUUUAUGGAGGAAUUUGAAGUUUAAAUGGUUGGAUCAAGAGAUUAAACAAGAGAAUAGAAGGUAAAAGUUGAGGAAUUUUCUCUCUUUUCUCUCUAUGUUGUUCGGCCAAGAGAAAGAAAAAUGAAGAUGAAAUUGGUCAAAAUUCAUGUUUAGUAAAUGUGAAAGAAAGUAGUCAAAGUCCACCCUCCAAUCAAAACGCGGCACCUAGCACCUUUUAGGUUUAACACUUAUCCUUUUGUCUCUCCUAACAAAUUAAUCUAGCUAACCUCUAGUUAUCUCCUAGCACCUAGUCAAUUAAUCCCUUAAUGCAAAACUGAAUCUAAUUGGUCGAAUUAACCGCACUUAACGCACUAGCGGGUCCCACGUCCACUAUACACUUCAAAUAUCUCAUGAACUAACUUAUACUAGAAAAAUAAUUUAAAAACUGUAUUUACUUAUAAAAAUAUCUCUAAAGUUAACAUAAUAACAAAAAUGUAGAAAACGGGUACAACGAAAGAAAAUAAGGCCUAGAAAUUCAGAAAAUUUUCGAGUUCUCACACUCUCUCCCCCUUAAAAGAAUUUCGUCCUCGAAAUUUUUUAUCAUCGCCUUCUUCGGGAUACAAAACUUUUAUUACUUCCUUCUCACAAUCAAAUUGAGCACCGUACUUAGUUAACCAAUCAGUAUCCCUUCACUAGCCAAGCUCAUUGAAUUUUUCGUAUAGUUUUUUCUUCCUUCUCAAAGUGAAAUUCUUAUACACCAUUCUAGUGGUCGUACGGUGGAAUACCAGAAUCUUACCUUCCACGUCUUCAAACGAGUCAGGGGCUUGAUGUUGCUAUAGGGCAUACGCCCGAGCCGACACCUUUUGUCCAUCCUUCUUCCCCUUCGACUGGUCAGGGUUGGUCGUGGUUGGUUGUUGGUUCCUACUCCCUUCUCGAGAUCGGCCUGCGCAGUUUGCAAUUUGAUGAUCUGCGCUCCCACAACGCAAACAUUUUCUUCCUUUCUUCCAACAGACUCCUCCGUGUGAUUCGGCUUCCCACAGUAACCGCAGGGACCACGGGAAGUGGAGACUGAGCCUCUCUGUGAGGCACCACUUGACAUCCCUGGUAGUUGUACUCCCCCGUUGCCCCUUCCAAUCUUAGGAGGCGUACCCUUAUCCCCUUGCUCUGAGCUACUUCCAAGAAAUCCUCUUUUCUUAGUUUGGAAGUUUCUAACUUGUAACCUCGCGCUUUCAACUCGUUGAACUUUCUCCACCGCAUCACUAAAGGCAUUGAGUUGGGCUAUCGCCAAGUCCUUCUGAAUCUCAACAUUUAAUCUCUGGACAAAACGCCUUAUCCUCCAUUGUUCGGUCACAAUUAGUUCGGGAACGAACUUAGACAACCUGGUGAACUGGCUCUCACAUUCGGUGACACUUUGAGUUCCCUGCCGAAGCCUAAUGAAUUCAUCUUCUUUCUUUUCCUAGAUCAGAGGUGGGAAAUACUUCGUGUUGAACUCUCUCAUAAAAUUCACCCACGUCCUUGGGGUUUGUUCUCUUUCCUAUUUCAGUCUUAUGAUAUUCCAUCAAGAACAGGCUGCUCCCUCCAGUUGAAAGACGGCAAAUAUUACCUGUCGCUCCUCAGUAUAAUGUAGCGUGGCAAAAAUAUCAAUCAUCUUCUCUAGCCACCUCUCGGCCACAUCAGGGUUGGGUCCUCCAAGAAAUUCGGUGGUGAGAACUUUUGAAAUCGUUCAAGAGCUUUAUCCUCACCCUCGGUAUGAUUACCAGGAUUUCCCGGCUGAGUAAUAGGAUUUUGGCCUUACUGUUCCACUACGUGAGCCAAAAGGUCGGUCGUUCAGGGUUGGAUUCAGGCAUUGGUUCCCGAUUUCCCCCUUCAUUCAAGGGUUGCCUACAUCCACAGCCCCGGCCUCGUCCAUUACGAGUUCCUUCCAUUGGAUUAACUAAUCUAGGCUCAAGGUGCGAAUACAAUAUACAACUAACGAGGUCAGUCAGUCAGAUAUAUAUAAUACAUCCGAAUCAAUUCAAAAGCAAAUAUACAUAUAACACGACUAUAUCAAACAAAUCACACAGUAACAGUCAGUCAAAUACAAGCAAAGGAAAUUCUAGGGAAGUAAGGGGGUCAUUCAAUAGUACACACUAUGAACUAAACCAGGAGUACAAAAGCAACUAACGAAAAGCUCCCCCCCUAGGGUUCUAUCCGUAAUCUACAAAAAAUCGCAAUUUAUCUCUUAAGCAGGGUUAAUCAUCCACACAUCAUAUAAAGUUCCGUAGAAUCAGAUGUCUAAUUCGCCAAGUCAUUCUAACCUAGGCUUCCAUCCCAUUUCGUAUUCGGGUACAAGAAUCCAAAAUAAGAGAAUUUACCACUCGAGCUGGCCAGUCCCAAGAGUAAAUCAUCUACAUUUGAAAUUCCUACCCGACAUAUGUAUUCAUAGUCUCUAAGUACCAAAAUAAUGUUUUAAAACCUAUAAUACACUGUGAUCCAUAGCUUAUGCUCAAAAGAGCACUUAGUCCCUUACACUCAUUCACAUGAUCGAGACCACAACACCACUUGGCCCCAAGCUCACUCCGGGUAGAGACCACGCGAAGCGGUUCUGAUAUCACCUGUGAUAGCCCCACCUUCCCCUAAGGUGUACCAAAGAGGUUAGCGGACUGCCUGCCUAACUCUCGCUAGGACUACUAAGGCGGUUAUACACAACUCAAAACGUGUCGGAAUACAGUAGCGCGCGUAAACAAAGCAAAAAUCACGAAAUAGAAAAAGAAAAUCGAAAUAGAAAGUGAAUAGUGCCUGCCACGUCACCAUCCGACCGGGACCCAAUCGAAUACAAGUGACUUCAUAUAAUCCUUGAAAUGGACAUAUAUAAACCAAACAUAACACAUGAACAUGAGUACAUGCUUUUAUCAACCACAUUCAUAUUUUUAUAAAUCAAAAGGGAACAUUUGAAUCCAAGUACAAUUAGGAUUUCCAACCAUUGAGGAGCUAUACAAAAUAUCUAAACUAGCUCAACUCAUGCUUCAAAAUCACAGUUCCAAAAGUGGUUCCUUGUAAGGAAAACAAGGAUAACGGAACGGGGUGAGUUAGAAGCUCAAUGAGGUACCAAAAGCAUAACGGUGAAAAUCAUGAGAAAACACUUUUAGGGCACACAUACACAUCAAGUAAGAGAAAUAAACGAACACCACAAUUUAAAAGAUACAGGUGGCCCUCAGGAGCCAAAUCCCCGUUGCAAUACUUGAUCCAACUUUGUUGACUCUCCGUCAAUGUUUAAUAACACACUCAUGUCCGUUGACCUCUCUUACGCCAAAAUCCCGUUCACCAAACAUACCCCUUACCGGGUCCGAACGCCGAACGGGAACAGUAAUGGUAAUACUCGAGUAUAGCGAAAUCAAGAGUUUCAAUACCCAAAGAUUCUCCAGGAACAGGUACCCAUGGAUUGUCAAUUACCUCAACCAAGCCCUUGCUGGCUUGAUUUAAUUAACUCCCCAUGAGGUUGAGCUCAAGUUUAACAGGAAGAUCGUUGGACACACUUCCAAAAGAUUUCAUAACAAGUGCAAGUAGCAAGUUCAAGUACAUAACAAGUACAAGUAAUAGAUUCCAGUUCAUUCAGUACAGGCAAGAGAACGAGUGCAAUAAAGUACACCCUCGUCUCAUUCAGAAUAACAGAGUUUCAUAGUUAUCCAUGUCACACAUUUCAAGUAUAGAUGAACCAAUUAAACAACAAUUCAAGGGAGUGAUACACUCACCUAUUAAAGCGAAAUAACGUCCAGAAUAUCUUUCCGGGUAACACUCUCAAUCACCGAUGAAUCCUAAGGUUAAUCAAGAGAAAAUAUUACAGUUCCUUCAGCAAAAGUUAGGUGAAUUGAAAACAAUUCAAAUACUACUAGUACAAAGUAUAAAAAUGAUUUUGGAAGUGAAAAGAGUACAUUUAAACCAAAGGACAUGAGUAAAAUAUUUGAAAAACUUAUUCUCGCUCAUAAAACUUUGAAAUAUCCAUUUGAGUCGAAGAAAUGAAGAAAAUGUAUUUCUAUUAGUCGUAAAUUUCAUUUUUUCCAAGUGUACAAGUUUCAGCCAGACUUGAACUUAUAUACCUCGAUAAAAAAAGACGCAAAUAUUCUAGAUGGUUCAUAUGGUAUUUGCUCUCAAAUCGUUACCUAAUUCUCGAGCGUAAAUUUGGGCAGCACGUCCUUUGUAUUUACCUAUUUUCCAGCCACUUAUGGCUUCAUUAUUUUCCUCAAUCAACUCCAAAGUCAUACACAAUAUAAAUUCAUCACAACAGCCAUUCAAUAGGCUCAAAGUCAUUCAAGUACAAGAUUUAGCUAGGAAAAUGACCGGAAAUGAGCUUUAAGCUAAGAAACCAAAAAGGCAGAUUCACCGCUACUUAGCGUAUCGGACAUAACUGAAACUACGCUUAUUGGAUUGAAGUGCAAGUUAUACCGUUUCGAAGUUAAGACAGAGGGCUAUAACUUUGAUGAAAACUACUUAAUCCAGUUCUCACCCUAACUAGGUCAAGUUUACCAAAACAACCCCAGAUUUUCCAGUUCAAAGCUCACUAUGAAAUUCAACUAGCAGUCCUGAUUCAUUCAAUCAUAUCUCAACACACCCAACUGUAAUUCAGGUAAUUCCAAAGCCAUUUGAAAGCUAAGAUAGAAGACUAUAAUUCUUAAGAAGAUGUCGACAACCAAUUCGGUAAUAUUCCUGGUCAAACUAACCACUUACAGAGGCUGAUUAUCAUUUUUGACAGAAACAGGGCAGCAGGGGCAAUUUUGUCAUGUCACAAGAUACCUGCUCCGAUUGAGCUGAAAUUCUGCAGGCAGCUAGUUAACAUCAUUUUCUACAACUUUCAUGUUUUAAGCUAAGAUUGAUUCAGCUUCUAGCAUGCUCAAAUAAAGCCAGACAGAACAGGAAAAAAUUGGAACCCUAAAGCUGAAAUUUCUGCAUAAAACUGAAAUUUUCAGCAAACAAUCGUAACUAACAUAUACAAGCUCCAUUUUACACCAUAACAAGCUAUCAUACCAUAAUUAAACCAUAAUCAUCCCAUAAAAUCAGAAAAAUCUCCAUUAAAUCAGAAAUUCAACAAACACUAGUUCAACCCAUGAAGUCUUCCACAAAUUAACAUGUUAGGCCACUAGAAACCACUAAUCUUUCCUUAUUAAGAACAAAAAGGAGAUUUCUUAGCAACUUACCUUUACAACUCAAGAAAGAUGGCAACUUAGCACCUCCACUUCUAAAACCACUCCACCACCUUCUUCAAUCCUACCUAGCAAUAGGUUUUUAUGGAGGAAUUUGAAGUUUAAAUGGUUGGAUCAAGAGAUUAAACAAGAGAAUAGAAGGUAAAAGUUGAGGAAUUUUCUCUCUUUUCUCUCUAUGUUGUUCGGCCAAGAGAAAGAAAAAUGAAGAUGAAAUUGGUCAAAAUUCAUGUUUAGUAAGGUGAAAGAAAGUAGUCAAAGUCCACCCUCCAAUCAAAACGCGCCACCUAGCACCUUUUAGGUUUAACACUUAUCCUUUUGUCUCUCCUAACAAAUUAAUCUAGCUAACCUCCAAUUAUCUCCUAACACCUAGUCAAUUAAUCCCUUAAUGCAAAAUUGAACCUAAUUGGCCAAAUUAACUACACUUAACGCACUAGCGGGUCCCACAUCCACUAUACACUUCAAAUAUCUCAUUAACUAACUUAUACUAGAAAAUAAUUUAAAAACUGUAUUUACUUGUAAAAAUAUCUCUAAAGUUAACAUAAUAACAAAAAUGUAGAAAACGGAUACAAAGAAAGAAAAUAAGGCCUAGAAAUUCAGAAAAUUUUCGGGUUCUCACGGGAUCAUCAAAGUUUCUUUCUUCUCCCCUCCUCGGUUGCAGCAAAUGCUUUUUCCAGUAAAACAGUGGCUUAUCUUUUGGCAUUUUCUCGCCUUUACUUCCUCAGUUUCUGGUCUCAAUCACUUAUGCAGAGGACACUCAAUCUACUGCAGGUUAUCCUAAGCUAAGCAGAGUCGUUCAUGACCAAAAUUCAGAGGAAAGCUGGGCUAAAUCCCGUGCCUGAGCUUAGCAGCAAAACCUGAUGCAUGGCAGCAUGCAUCAGACUCCAUCGAAUUCAGUUUUACGUCCCAACUGAACGUAUAGAGGCUAAUGACUUAGCUAAAAAUUAUCCUAAAGAAAGGAUGACAGUUUAUGAUCAGAAUUCACGAGAAUACUGAAGAAAUAUCUGUUGCAAGCACUUCUUAAUGUUAUCAUCCCAAGAAAAAUUUGAUAACAGUUGCAGGUUCAGGCUUUAAUCUCAGUUUUCUGCAAUUUCCCUUUUCCUGCAAUUUUACAGUUGCUACCCGACAUUUACUUCAGCCACAAGCUCAAAUUCCCAGCUAAAUUCGACAUGCAGCUGGUGUUUAUCCAAUUAUACCAACUAAAGAGCGAGUUGUUAUAAAAUCUUACCUGUUCCCCUUAAAAUUCGAUGUUGCAGGCUGCUCAAGUUUCGGUUUCAGCUCCUCAAUUCCUAGCACUCGAUUCUCCCGUUCCUUGCAGUCCCUUCCUCAGCUCUGGCUAAUUGAUUAUGAUGCUUACCUAAGUUGUAACUGGUUUCUCUUAACCUUGCUCUCUCUCUUUUCACUC